rnacentral:lncRNA from 1 species
UUUUAGAAUUAAUAUAUUUAAAUAUAUAAAAUGGUUUGAUACAGAAAAAAAAAUGUUGCAAUAGAUAGAAAAUAAAUAAAUAAAAUCCAGAUUUAGCGGACCAUGUUAUUGGUACCAAAAGUAAAAUAAAAAGUUUUAAAUAAAAACAAAGCAAAAUGAGUUAUUGACAUUUUUCACUACAAAUCAAUCAUCUAGAGACACCUUUCAGGUGAAAUUGUCAAAUACAAAGAUAAAAGAAAUAGUCUGUUUCCUUUGUUCUUCUUUCCUGUGUGGCACGAAGAACUCAGGUGGUUAUGUGCUCUUCAUAAUGUAUCCCAGAAUUAGACCGAUUAGUCCGACCAGAAGAACGUACAUCAAAGGCAUACCACUUUGGCCUCUCUUACUGUCACGUCUCAACUGGUCCUGCAGAUCAACCAAAUCUUUGUCAGAAAACAAACUCAACAUCUAAAUCAAAGCCUGUAAAUUUUAAGACUUGCUUUUAAUUUAUGCCAAGGUUAGAUAAAUCAACCACUUUCAUCCUAAAUCCCAAGUAACUCAUGCCUUUCUUGAAUAUCAAAUUAGAGAGAAAGUUAAAAAAAAAAAAAAAAAAACUCAAAACCAGCAGGCCCCUUCUUCGCAACACCAUGAAAAAACACUGAAAAUGCUAAUAAUCAAAGUAGUCACCUUAUCGUUCUGAGAUAUAUAAAAAAAAAACCGUCACAUGUACCAUCUCUAGUGUCAUAAACUAUGACGUCCUUACCACCCAUCACAUAUAUUUUUCUGCCUAGUGCCGGGGUUACCACAGAGUUAUUUUUACUAUCCACUUGCAUGCUAGGGUUUGGCGCGAGUUGCCAAGUUUGGGUGUUUAGGUCAAACGCUUGCGCUUUGAUAUCCUGGUAGCAACUUUGUGGACAAGUUCCUCCAAAAAUGUAAAUCUUGUCGUUAACUAGUCCCACGGCUGCUCCAUGUCUGAACACAGGCGACUUUGGACCCUGACGCAACUUUCCAGACCGAGUGUCCAGGAUCCACAUGUUUUCGAGCCGCCCACAAUGUAGAUAUCGGUACCUACCAUAACAGGAGUUGUAGAGUAAGAUUUGAGCAGAAAAGAAGGGAACCGGAUCGAGGCCAAAUGAUGAUGACUCUCGGUGAAAGUGAACCAAUGAUACGACGAAGGAUACUUUUCUCUAAAGCCGACGUAGAAGCGAUUCUCUUUUCCCCGGAGAGAUCGCGUUAUCUGAAGCUCAGAGGAACGUACUAGAGAUUGUAACUUCUUCGACACGCAAGAGAGAAUUGGGUGAUACCGUCUCGGAACACGUGCUAUGACGUUUAAGAUGAUAUCGUCUGGCAGUGACGAAAACGACCAUGACGGUGCCUCCUUGGCCGUGGUAGACAUCCUCUUACUAAACUUGUUUCUCUUUAAAUCACAUCUCAUCAUCAUUCGCUCUCUUGCUUUCUUAUCAUCAACACCAAUACAAGCUUUCUUUAUGUAAAGAAAUCCUUUCUCCUUUUCCCACUUGGAAUCCUUUUAUUAUUACUAUAUAUUUCCUAUUUUUUUAUUCAAAAUUCUGAUUUGGUUUAAAUUGUAUAAUAUUUUUAGAAUUAAUAUAUUUAAAUAUAUAAAAUGGUUUGAUACAGAAAAAAAAAUGUUGCAAUAGAUAGAAAAUAAAUAAAUAAAAUCCAGAUUUAGCGGACCAUGUUAUUGGUACCAAAAGUAAAAUAAAAAGUUUUAAAUAAAAACAAAGCAAAAUGAGUUAUUGACAUUUUUCACUACAAAUCAAUCAUCUAGAGACACCUUUCAGGUGAAAUUGUCAAAUACAAAGAUAAAAGAAAUAGUCUGUUUCCUUUGUUCUUCUUUCCUGUGUGGCACGAAGAACUCAGGUGGUUAUGUGCUCUUCAUAAUGUAUCCCAGAAUUAGACCGAUUAGUCCGACCAGAAGAACGUACAUCAAAGGCAUACCACUUUGGCCUCUCUUACUGUCACGUCUCAACUGGUCCUGCAGAUCAACCAAAUCUUUGUCAGAAAACAAACUCAACAUCUAAAUCAAAGCCUGUAAAUUUUAAGACUUGCUUUUAAUUUAUGCCAAGGUUAGAUAAAUCAACCACUUUCAUCCUAAAUCCCAAGUAACUCAUGCCUUUCUUGAAUAUCAAAUUAGAGAGAAAGUUAAAAAAAAAAAAAAAAAACUCAAAACCAGCAGGCCCCUUCUUCGCAACACCAUGAAAAAACACUGAAAAUGCUAAUAAUCAAAGUA